rnacentral:rRNA from 1 species
GACAGAGGGUGCAAACGUUGUUUGGAAUUACUGGGCGUAAAGCGUGUGUAGGCGGUCUCAUAAGUCGGGUGUGAAAUCCCUGGGCUCAACCCAGGAAGUGCACUCGAAACUGCGAGGCUGGAGUACCGGAGAGGUUGGUGGAAUUCUCGGUGUAGAGGUGAAAUUCGUAGAUAUUGAGAGGAACACCGGUGGCGAAGGCGGCCAACUGGACGAGUACUGACGCUGAGACACGAAAGCGUGGGGAGCAAACAGG